UACGGGGGGGGCAAGCGUUGUUCGGAAUUACUGGGCGUAAAGCGUGCGCAGGCGGUUAUGCAAGACAGAGGUGAAAUCCCCGGGCUCAACCUGGGAACUGCCUUUGUGACUGCAUGACUAGAGUACGGUAGAGGGGGAUGGAAUUCCGCGUGUAGCAGUGAAAUGCGUAGAUAUGCGGAGGAACACCGAUGGCGAAGGUAAUCCCCUGGACCUGUACUGACGCUCAUGCACGAAAGCGUGGGGAGCAAACAGG
rnacentral:rRNA from 1 species